GACGAACGCUGGCGGCGUGCCUAAUACAUGCAAGUAGAACGCUGAAGCGAGGAGCUUGCUCUUCUUGGAUGAGUUGCGAACGGGUGAGUAACGCGUAGGUAACCUGCCUGGUAGCGGGGGAUAACUAUUGGAAACGAUAGCUAAUACCGCAUAAAAUUGAUUAUUGCAUGAUAAUUAAUUGAAAGAUGCAAUUGCAUCACUACCAGAUGGACCUGCGUUGUAUUAGCUAGUUGGUAAGGUAACGGCUCACCAAGGCGACGAUACAUAGCCGACCUGAGAGGGUGAUCGGCCACACUGGGACUGAGACACGGCCCAGACUCCUACGGGAGGCAGCAGUAGGGAAUCUUCGGCAAUGGGGGGAACCCUGACCGAGCAACGCCGCGUGAGUGAAGAAGGUUUUCGGAUCGUAAAGCUCUGUUGUAAGAGAAGAACGGGUGUGAGAGUGGAAAGUUCACACUGUGACGGUAUCUUACCAGAAAGGGACGGCUAACUACGUG
rnacentral:rRNA from 1 species